GCUAAACACAUGGCUGCUGAUUGCUUCAGCUGCUGCUCCAUGCAGCCUCGAUAGGAAACACAUGGCAAACAAGCUUUUACACAGCCGGAGGGGGGGGAGGAAUCACUGCAGAGCCGGCGGCGAGGACGGCCAGUUUGCCGACAUGUCUGAACCAGAUGGAAGGAGGUGCCUGCUCCUCUUUCAUCUGCAGGAGCUGAGCCAGUCUGGUGUGUUUGGGAUCAUUGUCCUGUUGAUGAUCCAGUGUGGUCCAAGUUUCAACCGUGGACAGAUGGUCUCACUUCUAACUCUACAAUACUUUGGUCUACAGAGAAGUUCAUGGGCGACUCAGUGACGUGACUGCUAAAAAACACCCUGCGAUUAACGUGUCCAGGCAGCUUCACCGACAUCCCAUCUAAGGACGGACAGAUUUCUCUCAGGCUGCGGAGUCACAGAGCAUUGGCUGAAUCUUCUGCAAACUUUGACCUCACAGCUACAGAAAGCUGAAGGCCUGAUUUCCAUCACGUGUCUGUCACGAGAGACAGAGGGAGACGUCGCGUCUGCUGCAGCUGUCCGAUCACUUAACACAUUACAUCCACGGCAGCGUGACAUCACCACAAACCCGACGUCCGACCGCCCUGGUCCACGUGAACCCAUACCACUCGCACCAAUCGCCACCUGAAAAGGCCAGCUUGGAUGUGAUGGGUUUUUAUAUAAAUGUGAAUUAAUGUGUGCACAGAUCUUAUCAGCGGAGAGACGUGUUGCAAUAAAAGCAUGACCUCUGACCUAAAUCUUC